rnacentral:rRNA from 1 species
UACGUAGGGGGGCAAGCGUUGUCCGGAAUUACUGGGCGUAAAGGGCGCGUAGGCGGCGACCCAAGUCAGAUGUGAAAGUCCUGGGCUUAACCUGGGGGACUGCAUUUGAUACUGGGUUGCUUGAAUUCGGGAGAGGAUAGCGGAAUUCCCAGUGUAGAGGUGAAAUUCGUAGAUAUUGGGAAGAACACCGGUGGCGAAGGCGGCUAUCUGGACCGACAUUGACGCUGAGGCGCGAAAGCGUGGGGAGCAAACAGG